rnacentral:rRNA from 1 species
UACAGAGGUGGCAAGCGUUGUUCGGAAUUACUGGGCGUAAAGCGCGCGUAGGCGGCCCUGUAAGUCCGUUGUGAAAGUCAAAGGCUCAACCUUUGAAAGCCGAUGGAUACUGCAGGGCUAGAGUCCGGAAGAGGCGAAGUGGAAUUCCUGGUGGUAAGCGGUGGAAUGCGCAGAGUAUCAAGGAGGAACACCAAUAGCGAGGCAGCUCGCUGGGACGGUAACUGACGCUGAGGAGCGAAAGCGUGGGGAGGCGAACAGGAAUAGA